CGCGUAGGCGGCAUUACAAGUCAGAUGUGAAAGCCCCGGGCUUAACUCGGGAAUUGCAUCUGAAACUGUUUUGCUUGAGUCCUGGAGGGGGUAGUGGAAUUCCCAGUGUAGCGGUGAAAUGCGUAGAUAUUGGGAGGAACACCUGCGGCGAAGGCGGCUACCUGGACAGUGACUGACGCUGAGGCGCGAAAGCUAGGGGAGCGAACGG
rnacentral:rRNA from 1 species